rnacentral:tRNA from 1 species
GCAGUCGUGGCCGAGUGGUUAAGGCGGUGGACUAGAAAUACAUUGGGGUCUCCCCGCACAGGUUCGAAUCCUCUCGACUGCG